UGGGGGAUAUUGCACAAUGGGCGAAAGCCUGAUGCAGCGACGCCGCGUGGGGGAUGAAGGCUUUCGGGUUGUAAACCUCUUUCGCUAUCGAACAAGGCCCGCUUAGGGUGGGUUGAGGGUAGGUGGAGAAGAAGCGCCGGCUAACUACGUGCCAGCAGCCGCGGUAAUACGUAGGGCGCGAGCGUUGUCCGGAAUUAUUGGGCGUAAAGGGCUUGUAGGCGGCUUGUUGCGCCUGCUGUGAAAACGCGGGGCUUAACUUCGCGCGUGCAGUGGGUACGGGCAGGCUUGAGUGUGGUAGGGGUGACUGGAAUUCCAGGUGUAGCGGUGGAAUGCGCAGAUAUCUGGAGGAACUCCGAUGGCGAAGGCAGGUCACUGGGCCAUUACUGACGCUGAGGAGCGAAAGCAUGGGUAGCGAACAGG
rnacentral:rRNA from 1 species